AAUAGAUACCCCGGUAGUCCACGCCGUAAACGAUGGAUACUAGCUGUUCGGAGUAAUCUGAGUGGCUAAGCGAAAGUGAUAAGUAUCCCACCUGGGGAGUACGUUCGCAAGAAUGAGACUCAAAGGAAUUGACGGGGGCCCGCACAAGCGGUGGAGCAUGUGGUUUAAUUCGAUGAUACGCGAGGAACCUUACCAGGGCUUAAAUGUAGAUUGACAGGUUUAGAGAUAGACUUUUCUUCGGACAAUUUACAAGGUGCUGCAUGGUUGUCGUCAGCUCGUGCCGUGAGGUGUCAGGUUAAGUCCUAUAACGAGCGCAACCCCUGUUGUUAGUUGCCAGCGAGUAAUGUCGGGAACUCUAACAAGACUGCCAGUGCAAACUGUGAGGAAGGUGGGGAUGACGUCAAAUCAUCACGGCCCUUACGUCCUGGGCUACACACGUGCUACAAUGGUGGGGACAGAGAGCAGCCACUUCGCGAGAAGGAGCGAAUCUAUAAACCCUAUCACAGUUCGGAUCGGAGUCUGCAAA
rnacentral:rRNA from 1 species